GACGAACGCUGGCGGCGUGCCUAAUACAUGCAAGUAGAACGCUGAAGAGAGGAGCUUACGCUGCUUGGAUGAGUUGCGAACGGGUGAGUAACGCGUAGGUAACCUGCCUUGUAGCGGGGGAUACUAUGGGAAACGAGAGCUAAUACGGCAUAACAAUGGAUGACACAGGUGAUGUAUGGGAAAGGGGCAAUGGCGGCACUAGAAGAUGGACCUGCGUUGUAUUAGCUAGUAGGUGAGGUAAUGGCUCACCUAGGGGACGUUACAUAGCCGACCUGCGAGGGUGGUCGGCCACACUGGGACUGAGACACGCCCCAGACUCCUACGGGAGGCACCAGUAGUGAAUCUUCGGCAAUGGGUGCAACCCUGACCGAGAAACGCCGCGUGCGUGAAGAACGUUUUCGGAUCGUAAAGCUCUGUUGUCAGUCAAGAACCGGUGUGCGCGUGGAAAGUUCCCACUGUGACGGUAGCUUACCAGAAAGGGACGGCUAACUACGUG
rnacentral:rRNA from 1 species